rnacentral:rRNA from 1 species
GGGAGGCGCGGCCUAUACUGCAGUCGAGCGAAUUUCGAGAGCUUGCUCUCGCAAAUUAGCGGCGGACGGGUGAGUACACGUGGGCAACCUGCCUAUAAGACUGGGAUAACUUCGGGAAACCGGAGCUAAUACCGGAUAAUUCAUAUCUACUCAUGUAGAUAUGCUGAAAGACGGUUUACGCUGUCACUUAUAGAUGGGCCCGCGGCGCAUUAGCUAGUUGGUGAGGUAAUGGCUCACCAAGGCCACGAUGCGUAGCCGACCUGAGAGGGUGAUCGGCCACACUGGGACUGAGACACGGCCCAGACUCCUACGGGAGGCAGCAGUAGGGAAUCUUCCGCAAUGGACGAAAGUCUGACGGAGCAACGCCGCGUGAGUGAUGAAGGUUUUCGGAUCGUAAAACUCUGUUGUUAGGGAAGAACAAGUACCAGAGUAACUGCUGGUACCUUGACGGUACCUAACCAGAAAGCCACGGCUAACUACGUGCCAGCAGCCGCGGUAAUACGUAGGUGGCAAGCGUUGUCCGGAAUUAUUGGGCGUAAAGCGCGCGCAGGCGGUCCUUUAAGUCUGAUGUGAAAGCCCACGGCUCAACCGUGGAGGGUCAUUGGAAACUGGGGGACUUGAGUACAGAAGAGAAGAGUGGAAUUCCACGUGUAGCGGUGAAAUGCGUAGAGAUGUGGAGGAACACCAGUGGCGAAGGCGACUCUUUGGUCUGUAACUGACGCUGAGGCGCGAAAGCGUGGGGAGCAAACAGGAUUAGAUACCCUGGUAGUCCACGCUGUAAACGAUGAAUGCCAGCCGUUAGUGGGUUUACUCACUAGUGGCGCAGCUAACGCUUUAAGCAUUCCGCCU